rnacentral:lncRNA from 10 species
UGUGAGAUCUUAGCAGCCCUAGUCCCAGCAGCCCCUUGAGUGAUCCCUUCUUGUCCCUCUCCUGCCCUGCUCAGCUAAAGAAGGACUGAGCUGCUGUGACCCCAAGAAAGGUGCCGGUUGGCAUCGCACUCAGCACUGACAGCAAGGCUGAGCACGCUCAGAGGGAAGGCGGAGAAGGCCCCCGCCUCCUGCUCACGGCCUACUGUCUCCACAGGCCCAGGCUGCACGGGCAGGACCGCGGCUACAUGUCUGCAGCCUGGCUUAGCCUCUCAGCCGAGCCCCUCUCUCCUCCCCCACCUUCUCCCGCCUGUCGGGGGUAGGGAGUGAGAAGGGGAUCUUAAUUUCUCCUGCUUCUAAUCAGCACCGCUGGGAGCAUCAGCCUGCAGGGGGAGGAGGAGGUGAAAGGCCAUGGGCCUAAUCUACAAGCCACCCAGUCACCAGCGCCCAGCUUCCCUCCUCACAAGCCAUGGAGCAAACAAAUUAUUUUUGUUGUUCCUGGGAAAUCUGCAAGUACUUACCCGUGUGAUUAGCAUCUGUGCCUCAUGCCGGCAGUUCAGGUGAAGAGGCCAUGGCUAGUAGCCCGGUGCCGGGCCGCCUGUAAUCAAAACCAAAGCGGCGGCCAGGGUGCUCUCUGGCAACGACGAUGUCAAACUCAAUCUGGCCCUCACCUGGGACAGCUUCUCUGGGAGCCCUAUGCACGUUGAGGCCUCGGUAGCUCUGAAAUAAAUGCAGGAAGGGGCUGGGAGGCUGGGGUAGCCCAGCCUUCCCACAAGUAGCUCUGGCACUCCAAAGCCGGGGCAGAUGGAGGGCCUGAGGCCUGACGCACUGAUGCAAAAGCCUUGGGCCCAGGGAUCUGCAUUUUAAGCUGCAUUCCAAGUGGCUCUGAUGCGCCUCCAACGCUUGGGAAACACAGGAUGCUGUCCAGGCUCCCCUGAGUCAGUCUAGUAGUCACAGCGAUGAGCCCGGUUUCCAAAUGCCUACGAGGUGCAGGCGCUUUAUCUGCUAAUACAUUCUCUCAUUGUCCCUUUGAGAAAGGUGUGAAUAUACCUUCAUAUAGAUGAGGAAACUCAAGCUCAAGAGAAUAAACCACUUGCCCAAAGACACAAUGCAGGGCGGAGAGUCAAACUGAGGUGUGCCUGCCCGCAAACCCUGUUCUAGACCCUUCUGCAGAGUUAGGUCCCGCUUGGAGCUGCUGUCUCAUGCGAUGCGGAGGUGAAGUGGAGUCCCCCGACAUUGCUCAUGGACUGGCAGCCCCCUCGGCGAGAGAGCAGAGGGAGGGAAUGACACAGAAAGCUCCGAUGUGUCUUGUUCCCACCUAAGGGGCAAGCUGUUCUCAGCCUCCUGCUCAAAGCAGGGAAUAACACGCAUCUGCCUUUAUUCCACGGGCGCAGAAUAUGGCAUCCCUACGAGGAGCAGGAAGAACAGGCCAGAAACUGGCAAACAGCACACAAGGUGCUAGGACUGGGACAGAGCGCAGGAGCUCAGCAUGGAGCCCACGGGGGAGGCACUCCUCGUGACAGCAGGCGGCUGGCAUGUGCAUACAGAAUGGCCGCUGGAGGCUCUCCUUAAUAUGCUGGGCAGAGGUUGUACUUAAGUGAACCCCCAGUGAGCCCCCUUGGAGACUAAGGGCCAAAGCUGAACUCAGGAGCAGCCAGCAUGGAGCCGGAGUGGGGAAGCCGCGGCCAGAAGCAGUGGAGUUUAGACGGACAAUGUAAGAAGCUGACUCUAGCCUGGAUAGCGCAGAGACUGGGUUUUCAUCAGUUCCUCAGUGAAGAGGAAAUUGGAAAUUAAUACCAAAAAUCCCACUGAGUAGCGUCCAUAGUUUCCAUAUGUAAUCAUGCUUGGCUUAGCCAGGUAGUAGAAUGUUUAUGAUUUUCUUUCCAAGGUGGAGUUUAGUCAUUCUCAACGAACCAUUUAGUUGGCUUCAUAAGGUCCUGAAUUAAAGAACCCCUCUAGGUGAUGUUAUAGAUGGGCAGAUACCUGGGCGAGGUGGACCCUCACUGGCUGUUGAAGUCAAGGCGGAGGGCCCAGAUUGGGCAAAUCCGGGGAAGAAGCCAUCCUCCCAGACAGCUGCUUGGACGAGGCCAGGGCGCCACACGCUACGUGAAGCGCUGGCUGGAGGAGAAAUGGUCUGUCGUAGGUCUAGGUCUGUUUUAAGGAUCUCCCCUGGCGUUUGUGAUUCACGUACAAAAAUUCAAAUGGUAUGCCCCUCCCCGAACACAUGCUGUCAGUAAACGGAGGCAUCGCUGCACUGCCAGCUAAUGACUGCAGGCUGAGGCGGGCGGCUGGGUGCGUUCACUGCAAGCUCGGAACGCUGGCACUGGCUCUUCCUGCUCCAUCCUGGAAAGGAGGAGAAUGAGGCAGCCUCCUGCCCGUGGCCCUGAUCUUUAGCUCGCUCUACACUGGAAACCAGGAGAUGGAUUUAGAGACCCGGCUGCACAGUCCCUCACCAGCUGCUGGGUGCCACAGCUGGAGUGGAGUGCAAUGGGACGAUCUCGGUUCACUGCAACCUCUGCCCCCCGGGUUCAAGCAAUUCUC